rnacentral:rRNA from 1 species
CCUACGGGGGGCAGCAGUGGGGAAUAUUGCACAAUGGGGGAAACCUUGAUGCAGCGACGCCGCGUGAGUGAAGAAGUAAUUCGUUAUGUAAAGCUCUAUUAGCAGGGAGGAAAAUGACGGUCCCUGAGUAAGAAGCCCCGGCUAACUACGUGCCAGCAGCCGCGGUAAUUCGUAGGGGGCAAGCGUUAUCCGGAUUUACUGGGUGUAAAGGGAGCGUAGACGGUAGUGCAAGUCUGGAGUGAAAGGCCGGGGCUCAACCCCCGGACUGCUCUGGAAACUGUUCGGCUGGAGAGCAGGAGUGGUAAGUGGAAUUCCUAGUGUAGCGGUGAAAUGCGUAGAUAUUAGGAGGAACACCAGUGGCGAAGGCGGCUUACUAGACUGUAACUGACGUUGAGGCUCGAAAGCGUGGGGAGCAAACAGGAUUAGAUACCCGAGUAGUC